GCCUCAGUACGGCGAGUGAGCGGCAAAGCUCAAUUUGAAAUCUAGCACCUUCGGUCGUUCGAGUUGUAAUUUGAAGAUGGUAACCUUGGGUUUGGCUCUUGUCUAUGUUCCUUGGAACAGGACGUCAUAGAGGGUGAGAAUCCCGUCUGAUGAGAUGCCCAUUCCUAUGUAAGGUGCUAUCGAAGAGUCGAGUUGUUUGGGAAUGCAGCUCUAAGUGGGUGGUAAAUUCCAUCUAAAGCUAAAUAUUGGCGAGAGACCGAUAGCGAACAAGUACAGUGAUGGAAAGAUGAAAAGAACUUUGAAAAGAGAGUGAAAAAGUACGUGAAAUUGUUGAAAGGGAAGGGCAUUAGAUCAGACUUGGUGUUUUACGAUUAUCUUCUCUUCUUGAGUUGUGCACUCGUAUUUCACUGGGCCAGCAUCGAUUCGGAUGGCAAGAUAAUAGCAGUUGAAUGUGGCUUCACUUCGGUGGAGUGUUAUAGCUUCUGUUGAUAUUGCCUGUCUGGAUCGAGGGCUGCGUCUUUUGACUAG
rnacentral:rRNA from 1 species